rnacentral:rRNA from 1 species
AUGGGGAAGGAGAAGACGACGGCUCUGGAGCGGGCAAAGAAGGCGACGACGAGGUCGAAGGGGAAGGCGACCAGUCGGGGCGGAUCCUCCUCGCGAACCAGCCUGCCGAAGGGCUGGAUCCAGGGCGACUGGAUCCACUCGAGGCUCACCCAAGAAGACCUCGACGACCUGGCCGAGGGAGGGCUGAUCCCCUAUGACUCGGCGCAGCUUCCGGGGAAGGAAUCCGAGCCGCAACCCCGGGAGGGUGAGCGAGUUCUUCUUGCCACCCACGUCGACCGUGGAUUUUCCUUGCCUCCUCACCCUUUCUUUCGAGGAUUUCUGAACUUCUUAGGGGCACAACUCCACCAUUUUACUCCCAACACAAUCGUUUAUCUCGCCGCUUUCAUUUCUUUGUGUGAGAAUUUCCUGGGUUGCCGGCUUCACUGGGGUCUUUUCAAGCAUAUUUUCACUUGUUGCUCCCAGACAGUGAAAAAGGCUAAUCCGAGUGAUGAGAGGACCCAAGUGAUCCAGAUGUGUGGGGGUCUUGGUAUCUAG